UAUGGAGCCAAUUUUCUCAGUUG
rnacentral:piRNA from 1 species